rnacentral:rRNA from 1 species
AUUGAACGCUGGCGGCAGGCCUAACACAUGCAAGUCGAACGGUAACAGGAAGACGCUUGCUUCUUUGCUGACGAGUGGCGGACGGGUGAGUAAUGUCUGGGAAACUGCCUGAUGGAGGGGGAUAACUACUGGAAACGGUAGCUAAUACCGCAUAACGUCGCAAGACCAAAGAGGGGGACCUUCGGGCCUCUUGCCAUCGGAUGUGCCCAGAUGGGAUUAGCUAGUAGGUGGGGUAACGGCUCACCUAUGCGACGAGCCCUAGCUGGUCUGAGAGGAAGACCAGACAGAUUGGAACAGAGACACGGCCGAGACUCCGACGGGAGGCAGCAGUGGGGAAUAUUGCAGGAUGGGGGAAAGCCUGAUGCAGCAAUGCGGGGUGUAUGAAGAAGGACUUCGGGUUGUAAAGUGAUUUAGGCGGGGAGGAAGGAAGUAACGUUAACACCUUAGCUCAUUGACGUUACCGGCAGAAGAAGCACCGGCUAACUCCGUG